GUCCGUUUCGUACUGCAGAAGGAAGCUCCAAAAGCAGCGGCGCGAACCUGCUUCUGUCUUCCCCACCUGAGGUACGGCUAAGGCUAGGGACAGCCUUGGUAUUA
rfam:Treponema azotonutricium ZAS-9, complete genome.